rnacentral:rRNA from 1 species
UACGGGGGGAGCAAGCGUUGUUCGGAUUUACUGGGCGUAAAGGGCGCGUAGGCGGUCAGCACAAGUCAGUUGUGAAAUCUCCGGGCUUAACUCGGAAAGGUCAACUGAUACUGUGUGACUAGAGUCCGGUAGGGGAGCACGGAAUUCCUGGUGUAGCGGUGAAAUGCGCAGAUAUCAGGAGGAACACCAGCGGCGAAGGCGGUGCUCUGGGCCGGAACUGACGCUGAGGAGCGAAAGCGUGGGUAGCGAACAGG